rnacentral:lncRNA from 1 species
GUGCUGGGAUUACAGGCGUUGAGCCACUGUGUCCAGCCGACAAUUCAUUUUUAUUAAAAAAAAUAAUAGAGAUGGGGUCUCACUAUGUUGACCAGGCUGAUCUUGAACUCCUGGCCUCAAGCGAUUCUCCUGCCUUGGCUUCCCAAAGUGCUGGGAUUACAGGUGUGAGCCACUACAUCUGGCCUUGAAUCCUUUUUUAUCUAAGAUUUUCAGGCAUUGUCAAAUUGUGUAAGGUAAAUUUCUACUUGUUCUCUAGUAUCCAUUCUCCCCAUUUUUCCUUAAUAAAAACCCCAAAUGGUUCCCAUUUCCUCCUCCAUUUCCCAGCUUCCUUAUGGGUGGGUGUGGCCAUGUGACUUGACCUGUGGACUAUGUAAACUGAUGUGUGCAACAUCCAGCUUUUCUUCCCUUCUUUUAAAUAGGGAAGUUGCUUGCUCUCCAUACUUUCCCCCUUUUUACCCUUGCUGGAAAAGGAUGACAACUUGGGCAGCCACCUUAGACCUACAGAUGGCCAUGGAAUGUUCCACCAGCUGGAUCCUUGGAGCAGAGCCACCUACUCACUUCUAUCUUAUUUAAGCCAAUGAAUUUUGGAGAAAUUAAUUUUCCUGCCAUUUUUUCAUAUACUGACUGCUAACUCCAAAUAAGAGAAAUGACAUCUGGUCUCAAUAUAAAAAACAGUAGUGAGGCGGGGCAUGGUGGCUCACACUUGUAAUCCCAGAACUUUAGGAGACCGAGGUGGGUGGACAACAUGGUGAGAACUUGUCUCUACUAAAAAUA